rnacentral:rRNA from 1 species
GAGAAAGUAAGCAAGGGCAGACGGUGGAUGCCUUGGCUCUCGGAGGCGACGAAGGACGUGAUAAGCUGCGAAAAGCUCGGGGGAGGCGCAAAUAGCCGUUGAUCCCGGGAUAUCCGAAUGGGGCAACCCGGCAGGCUGAAGGCCUGUCAUCCCGAAAGGGAGGCGAACGUGGGGAACUGAAACAUCUAAGUACCCAUAGGAGGAGAAAAUAAACAAUGAUUCCGUAAGUAGUGGCGAGCGAACACGGAAGAGCCCAAACCCGUGUCGUCUAGGCGAUACGGGGGUUGUAGGACCACGACGUGGCAAGAUAGAGUCAAGUGGAACGCCUUGGAAAGGGCGACCGUAGAGGGUGAUAGUCCCGUACACGACUGACGAUUGAAGCCUAGUGGUAUCCUGAGUAGCGCGGGGCACGAGAAAUCUUGCGUGAAACAGCGGGGCCCAUCCCGUAAGGCUAAAUACUCCCGAGAGACCGAUAGCGAACCAGUACCGUGAGGGAAAGGUGAAAAGAACCCCGAGCAGGGGAGUGAAAUAGACCCUGAACCCGUCUGCCUACAAGCGGUCGGAGCGUCGUAAUGACGUGACGGCGUGCCUUUUGCAUAAUGAACCUACGAGUUACCUUCCCCGGCAAGGUUAAGUUCUUGAGGAACGGAGCCGAAGCGAAAGCGAGUCUGAACAGGGCGCCAAGUCGGGGGGGGUAGACGCGAAACCGAGUGAUCUACCCUUGGCCAGGUUGAAGGUUGGGUAACACCAACUGGAGGACCGGAUGGGUAAGCGUUGAAAAGCUUUCCAAUGAGCUGAGGGUAGGGGUGAAAGGCUAAUCAAACUCGGAGAUAGCUCGUACUCCCCGAAAUGCAUUUAGGUGCAGCCUCUUUAUAGUAUAUCGUGAGGUAGAGCGACUGAUUGGAUGCGAGGGCUUCACCGCCUAUCAAGUCCAGAUAAACUCCGAAUGCGCGAUAUAUAUUUACAGGGAGUGAGGGCGCGGGUGCUAAGGUCCGUGUCCGAGAGGAGAAGAAUCCAGACCACCGGCUAAGGCCCCCAAAUGAUCGUUAAGUUGAACUAACGAGGUCGGAUCGCAGAGACAGCUAGGAUGUUGGCUUGGAAGCAGCCAUUCAUUUAAAGAGUGCGUAACAGCUCACUAGUCGAGCGAUCUGGCGUGGAUAAUAAUCGGGCAUAAACGAUCUGCCGAAGCCGUGGAUGUCGCAAGACAUGGUAGGGGAGCAUUCCAUGCCGCGUCGAAGAUGAGGGAUGACCCUUGUUGGAGCGCAUGGAAAAGCAAAUGUAGGUAUGAGUAACGAUAAGGGGGGCGAGAAACCCCCCCGCCGAAAGACCAAGGUUUCCUGAUCAACGCUAAUCGGAUCAGGGUGAGUCGGGACCUAAGGCAAAGCCGAACGGCGCCGCCGAUGGAAGAAUGGGUUAAUAUUCCCAUACUGCCUCAUGGAGUGACGUGGAGACGGAGAAGUGACAGUCCUGCCGGCUGACGGAAUAGCCGGUUGAAGGGUGUAGAUAUUGAUUCCCGUAGGCAAAUCCGCGGGGAGAGUCGAACCUGAGAGUAUACGGAGCGCUUGCGCAACGUAAUAUGGACGUAACCAUGCUCCCGAGAAAAUCCGCUAAACUUAUCCAUGCGGCACCCGUACCGUAAACGGACACACGUGGUCGGGUUGAGAAUACUGAGGCGCUCGAGUGAUUCACGGUUAAGGAACUAGGCAAAUUGACCCUGUAACUUCGGGAUAAA